UUAGAGUUUGAUCCUGGCUCAGAACGUACGCUGGCGGCACGCCUAACACAUGCAAGUCGAACGAAGUAGCAAUACUUAGUGGCAGACGGGUGAGUAACAUGUAGGUAUCUACCCUUUGGCCUGGAAUAACACGAGGAAACUUGUGCUAAUACCGGAUAAGUCUUUACGGAGAAAGCUUUAUGCACCAUUGGAUGAGCCUGCACUUGAUUAGUUUGUUGGUGGGGUAAUGGCCUACCAAGACUGUGAUCAAUAGCUGAUUUGAGAGGAUGAUCAGCCACAUUGGGACUGAGACACGGCCCAAACUCCUACGGGAGGCAGCAGUGGGGAAUCUUGCACAAUGGAGGAAACUCUGAUGCAGCGAUGCCGCGUGAGUGAAGAAGGCCCUUGGGUUGUAAAGCUCUUUCGUCGGGGAAGAAAAUGACUGUACCCGAAUAAGAAGGUCCGGCUAACUUCGUGCCAGCAGCCGCGGUAAUACGAAGGGACCUAGCGUAGUUCGGAUUUACUGGGCUUAAAGAGUUCGUAGGUGGUUGAAAUAGUUGGUGGUGAAAUCCCAGAGCUUAACUCUGGAACUGCCAUCAAAACUUUUCAGCUAGAGUAUGAUAGAGGAAAGCAGAAUUUCUAGUGUAGAGGUGAAAUUCGUAGAUAUUAGAAAGAAUACCAAUUGCGAAGGCAGCUUUCUGGAUCAUUACUGACACUGAGGAACGAAAGCAUGGGUAGCGAAGAGGAUUAGAUACCCUCGUAGUCCAUGCCGUAAACGAUGUGUGUUAGACGUUGGAAAUUUAUUUUCAGUGUCGCAGGGAAACCGAUAAACACACCGCCUGGGGAGUACGACCGCAAGGUUAAAACUCAAAUGAAUUGACGGGGACCCGCACAAGUAGUGGAGCAUGUGGUUUAAUUCGAAGAUACGCGCAGAACCUUACCAACACUUGACAUGUUCGUCGCGACUCUAAGAGAUUAGAGUUUUCGGUUCGGCCGGACGAAACACAGGUGCUGCAUGGCUGUCGUCAGCUCGUGUCGUGAGAUGUUGGGUUAAGUCCCGCAACGAGCGCAACCCUCACUUUUAGUUGCCAUCAUUAAGUUGGGCACUCUGAAAGAACUGCCAGUGAUAAGCUGGAGGAAGGUGGGGAUGACGUCAAGUCCUCAUGGCCCUUACGUGUUGGGCUACACACGUGCUACAAUGGCAUCUACAACAGGAAGCAAAACGGCAACGUUAAGCAAAUCCCGAAAAGAUGCCUCAGUUCGGAUUGCACUCUGCAACUCGAGUGCAUGAAGCUGGAAUUACUAGUAAUCGUGGAUCAGCGUGCCACGGUGAAUGCGUUCCCGGGCCUUGUACACACCGCCCGUCACACCAUGGGA
rnacentral:rRNA from 2 species